AUUCUACUCCCUCCGUUGCACAAUACAUACCUUCUAUUUGUCAAAAUAUAUAUGUAUCUAGACAUGUUUUAGUAUAUAGGUACAUCCAUUUUGGACAAAUGGAAGUCAAGUAUUUUGGAACGGAGGGAGUACACA
rfam:Triticum aestivum genome assembly, contig: Triticum_aestivum_CS42_TGACv1_scaffold_485919_6AS